rnacentral:lncRNA from 1 species
GGGAGUCUGUCCUCUUUCUGUGAUUUUUCUCGUCCAGGGAAACACAGGGCAGGCUGUGUGGUUUUGUCCUAAGUAACUAAGAGUUAUUGGGAUGCACACACCAGCAGCCGGAGCCAUAAACAACAUUCGUAAACUGUAGCAGGCAUUGCACUGCCGCUUUGACCAGACGGCCAGACACAAUCUGUUUGCGACUCUUUUCAGGAGUGGAAUUUCCAGGAAACUUUGGCGACCACAUCUCAAGACUUCUGAGCUUGCUCGCCACUCAGGAGAGCCUAGAGAUGGGGAAGGGGAGCUGCUGUAGGGCAGCCUUGAUGGAUAGUGCAUUCAGCGACUCCUCACGGUGUGAGUAUCCUUACCCUCCAAAGGGCACUGUCUAUGAGACCUGCAUUUGCGGACCCGAGGCUAACCCAAUGACUCUUCCUUAUGCCCUCCCUUCUCUUCCAUGAUUUUUGUUGUCUUUUCCUGGGGUGUCCUGUGGCCAUUUUCUUGUUACUCUCCUUCAGAGUACACAGAGGGAGAUCUUGGCCAAUCAUUUGUUUUGGAAGCUUGUCACUGUGUGGCUGGGUUGCCUGGCACUUCAUGUUUGUUGGGGAUGAGAGUUAGGGAGUGUUGUGUCAAUAGACUGUAGGGACAGACAUGUGUUGGAUUAUCCUGGGCUGUGUCCUAAAGGUCACUUGGGAGUGCGUAAGAAAUCCCAGCAACAAGAAGUGGGGUACACAUACCUGGUGGCCAAAGAAGAAAUGAUGGACAAGCCUCCAAACAGAGUCGCCCUAACUCGUACCCAAAAACCGUCACUGAGGAUAUUAUCCAGAAUCCCAAGAUACCAGGAGCCAGCUUUAGGCGGCACUAAGAGGGAUGUCCGCACCACUGAAGAAUGUGUGGAAGUCAGAGGACGUCUCGCAGGAAUCACUUCUCUCCUAUUGUCUGGGUCCUCAAGAUUGAACUCAGGUCAUCAGGCUUGGUGACAAGAACCUUUGUACACGGUGUCAUCUCACUGGCAGGCUUUUCUUAGUUCUAAUACCUAGUAGGCAGCUGUGCAAAAAUUUAAGUCUAUGGUGUUUUAUUUGUCCUGGCAGUCAGAACAGAAUCCAAAAAAGUUGCUUUUCUUCCUCUUCUUCUUCUUCCUCCUCUUCCUUCUCCUCUUCCUCCUCCUCCUCCUCUCCACCCCCCUUCUUCUACACGUCUUGUAUUUUUAUCUUACAUGCAUGGGUGUUUUGCUUGCUUGCAUGUCUGUGUACCGUGUGCAUAAAGUGCUUUGGG